rnacentral:rRNA from 1 species
GUCGCGUGUGUGAAGAAGGCCUUAGGGUUGUAAAACACUUUCAAUAAAGGAAGAAGAAAUAUUAAAAUAAUAUUUAAAUAUUUUUGACGUUAUUUAUAAAAGAAGCACCGGCUAACUUCGUGCCAGCAGCCGCGGUAAUACGGGGGGUGCUAGCGUUAAUCAAAAUUACUGGGCGUAAAGGGUGUGUAGGUUGUAAUUUUAAGUUAAUUAUAAAAGUUAUUAAAAAAAUUUAAUAAAGUAAUUAAUACUGAAUUUCUUGAGUAUAAAAGAAGAAAAUAGAAUUCUAGAAGUAGCAGUGAAAUGCUUAGAUAUUUAGAAGAAUACUAAUGGCGAAGGCAUUUUUCUAUUUUAUACUGACACUGAUACACGAAAGCAUGGGGAGCAAACAGGAUUAGAUACCCUGGUAGUCCAUGCAGUAAACGUUGUCAACUAUUUAUUAAAUAACAUAAUUUUAUUUUAAAAAUUUUAUGUUUUAUAAAUUAUGUAAAUUUAGUGAAAAAGCUAACGCGUUAAGUUGACCGCCUGGGGAUUACGACCGCAAG